rnacentral:rRNA from 1 species
CCUACGGGUGGCAGCAGUGAGGAAUAUUGGUCAAUGGCCGUAAGGCUGAACCAGCCAAGCCGCGUGAAGGAAGGAGGUUCUAUGGAUUGUAAACUUCUUUUAUAGGGGAAUAAAGUUAUCCACGUGUGCAUAUUUGCAUGUACUCUAUGAAUAAGCAUCGGCUAACUCCGUGCCAGCAGCCGCGGUAAUACGGAGGAUGCGAGCGUUAUCCGGAUUUAUUGGGUUUAAAGGGUGCGUAGGUUGUGUUGUAAGUCAGCGGUGAAAGUUUGGGGCUCAACCCUAAAAUUGCCGUUGAAACUGGAGGACUGGAGUGGGUGUGAGGUAGGCGGAAUGCGUGGUGUAGCGGUGAAAUGCAUAGAUAUCACGCAGAACUCCGAUUGCGAAGGCAGCUUACUAAGCCAUAACUGACACUGAAGCACGAAAGCGUGGGGAUCGAACAGGAUUAGAUACCCGAGUAGUC